GACGUAGGGCGCGAGCGUUGUCCGGAUUUAUUGGGCGUAAAGAGCUCGUAGGCGGCUUGUCGCGUCGACCGUGAAAACUUGGGGCUCAACCCCAAGCCUGCGGUCGAUACGGGCAGGCUCGAGUUCGGUAGGGGAGACUGGAAUUCCUGGUGUAGCGGUGAAAUGCGCAGAUAUCAGGAGGAACACCCGUAGCGAAGGCGGCACUCUGGGCCGAUACUGACACUGAGGAGCGAAAGCGUGGGGAGCGAACAGG
rnacentral:rRNA from 1 species